rnacentral:lncRNA from 1 species
GUUCAGAGAUUGGUUGUGCUACUGAAGGCGGCGGACGUGGGACCCCCGGUUCCGUCUCGGGAAGUAACUCAUCUGCCCCCUCUUUGAACACCUCCGCUCACGAGCGCAGCACGUGGAAACCGUCAGUGAUUUGUGUCUGCAACGUGUGUGAGAGAAUGGAGGUGUGUGACACGGUAUAUUCUCCUGCUCUCGGCGGCCCAGCCCUCGUGACUCUCCGGUCUCUGUUUCACCUCCCCCACCCCUUUCUCCUCCAAGUUGGGUGCCUCCUGCCCUGCUGGGUGAGGAGGGUGGGGAUUGCAACCGAGAACACCGCGUCCUUUCUGGCUCCCGCUGGGGCGGCUCCUCCAUCCCUUUUCUUACAUAACCUACCACGCACGUUACCAGCUCAGAUGCCAGCCCGCCACGACGCUAGAGGUCAAAACGAAACUCAGUUUUUCCUGACUUUUUUAUCCAGGCUUCUCGGGCCCGGCGUCCUAAAUUAUCUGAUUCCAAGCACGGGGAACAGAAUGGGGUAGGUCCCUGAUCUCCUAGGUUAUGGUUUUGUCCAGCUUCAGUCCCUUCAUUUGUCCGCUGGAGAAGAUUCGAAAGACUUUGAAGGAGGGGAGGGAGGCAAGUCCAGAGUUUAGAGAGUCUCAGAAGUAACUGGGACGUUACUAUUGUCGUUGCGCCUUGCAUUUUGAGAGUACAAUGGAGAGGAGAGCAGGGCCCAAGGACUGUGAGCUGGUUGAAGAUAGGACGUCGGAGAGACCGCAAGGGGGCAGCCCAAUUCUAAUUAGGGUCCCGAGGAUAGCGAAUUAAAAAAAAAUUUAAGUGAGUUUGUCCCUGCCAUAAUUACCAACUGCAAAAGGCACAUUGUUGGACAGAGGUGUGGGUAGGGGUGGGUAGGUGUGAAUAUUUUAAGUCUAUUCUAAGUAGUUUUUGAUAUUUUACCUUAUGUUUUAACAAUGUGCUUAUUCUUAUAAAAAGAAAAAAAGAUUCUAAAACCUCAACCUCGUUUCCCCAAGCACACUGUUUCAACACCAUACUUAAUAAAAUAAAACAAGAGAAUUACCAAUAUG